rnacentral:rRNA from 1 species
UAAGGAAUAUUGGUCAAUGGGCGCAAGCCUGAACCAGCUAUGCCGCGUGAAGGAUGAAGGCCCUAUGGGUCGUAAACUUCUUUUGUACGGGAAGAAAUCCUUUUAUGUAUAAAAGGUUGACGGUACUGUAAGAAUAAGGAUCGGCUAACUCCGUGCCAGCAGCCGCGGUAAUACGGAGGAUCCAAGCGUUAUCCGGAUUUAUUGGGUUUAAAGGGUGCGUAGGCGGACUUGUAAGUCAGUGGUGAAAGCCUGCAGCUUAACUGCAGAACUGCCAUUGAUACUGUGAGUCUUGAGUAUAGUUGAGGUGGGCGGAAUGUGUCAUGUAGCGGUGAAAUGCUUAGAUAUGACACAGAACACCAAUUGCGAAGGCAGCUCACUAAGCUAUAACUGACGCUGAGGCACGAAAGCGUGGGUAGCAAACAGG